UACGGGGGGAGCAAGCGUUGUUCGGAUUUACUGGGCGUAAAGGGCGCGUAGGCGGCCACCGCAAGUCGACUGUGAAAUCUCCGGGCUUAACUCGGAAAGGUCAGCCGAUACUGCGGGGCUAGAGUGCAGAAGGGGCAACUGGAAUUCUCGGUGUAGCAGUGAAAUGCGUAGAUAUCGAGAGGAACACCAGUGGCGAAGGCGAGUCCCUGGACACUUCCUGACACUGAGGCACGAAAGCUAGGGGAGCAAACAGG
rnacentral:rRNA from 1 species